AACGAACGCUGGCGGCAUGCCUAACACAUGCAAGUCGAACGAAGGCUUCGGCCUUAGUGGCGCACGGGUGCGUAACGCGUGGGAAUCUGCCCUUUGGUUCGGAAUAACAGCUGGAAACGGCUGCUAAUACCGGAUGAUGACGAAAGUCCAAAGAUUUAUCGCCAGAGGAUGAGCCCGCGUUGGCUUAGGUAGUUGGUGGUGUAAAGGCCUACCAAGCCGACGAUCCAUAGCUGGUCUGAGAGGAUGAUCAGCAACACUGGGACUGAGACACGGCCCAGACUCCUGCGGGAGGCAGCAGUGGGGAGUAUUGGGCAAUGGGCGCUAGCCUGAUCCAGCAAGGCCGGGUGAGUGAUGAAGGUGCUGGGGUUGUAAAGCUCUUUGACCCGGGAAGAUAAUGACUGUACCGGGAGAAUAAGCCCCGGCUAACUCCGUG
rnacentral:rRNA from 1 species